CCAGCACCCCGAGUGGUCGGGACGAUUAUUGGGCCUAAAGCAUCCGUAGCCGGUUUUACAAGUCCCCCGUUAAAUCCAGCUGCUUAACAGAUGGGCUGCGGAGGAUACUAUAAGACUAGGAGGCAGGAGAGGCAAGCGGUACUCAGUGGGUAGGGGUAAAAUCCGUUGAUCCAUUGAAGACCACCAGUGGCGAAGGCGGCUUGCCAGAAUGCGCUCGACGGUGAGGGAUGAAAGCUGGGGGAGCAAACCGGAUUAGAUACCCGGGUAGUCCCAGCUGUAAACGAUGCAGACUCGGUGAUGGACUAGCUUUGUGCUAGUCCAGUGCCGCAGGGAAGCCGUUAAGUCUGCCGCCUGGGUAGUACGGUCGCAAGACUG
rnacentral:rRNA from 1 species